rnacentral:rRNA from 1 species
AUUGAACGCUGGCGGCAGGCCUAACACCUGCAAGUCGAACGAGUGGCGGACGGGUGAGUAAUGUCUGGGAAACUGCCUGAUGGAGGGGGAUAACUACUGGAAACGGUAGCUAAUACCGCAUACCAUCAGAUGUGCCCAGAUGGGAUUAGCUAGUUGGUGGGGUAACGGGUCACCAAGGCGGCGAUCCCUAGCUGGUCGUAGAGGAUGACCAGCCACACUGGGACUGAGACACGGACCGGACUCCGAGGGGAGGCGGCAGUGGGGAAUAUUGCACAAAGGGGGCAAGCAUGAUGCAGCCAUGCCGCGUGUAUGAGGAAGGCCUUCGGGUUGUAAAGUACUUUCAGCGGGGAGGCGUUACCCGCAGAAGAGGCCCCGGCUAACUCCGUGCCAGCAGCCGCGGUAAUAC